rnacentral:rRNA from 1 species
GACGAACGCUGGCGGCGUGCUUAACACAUGCAAGUCGAACGAAGAGCGAUGGAAGCUUGCUUCUAUCAAUCUUAGUGGCGCACGGGUGAGUAACGCGUAAUCAACCUGCCCUUCAGAGGGGGACAACAGUUGGAAACGACUGCUAAUACCGCAUACGAUCUAAUCUCGGCAUCGAGGAUAGAUGAAAGGUGGCCUCGACAUGUAAGCUAUCACUCAAGUAGGGGAUUGCGUCUGAUUAGCUAGUUGGAGGGGUAACGGCCCACCAAGGCGAUGAUCAGUAGGCGGGCUGAGCGGAUGAAACGCCACAUUGGGACUGCGACAAGGCCCAGACUCCUACGGGGGGCAGCAGUGGGGAAUCUUCCGCAAUGGACGAAAGUCUGACGGAGCAACGCCGCGGGAGUGAUGACGGCCUUCGGGUUGUAAAGCUCUGUUAAUCGGGACGAAAGGCCUUCUUGCGAAUAGUGAGAAGGAUUGACGGUACCGGAAUAGAAAGCCACGGCUAACUACGUG